rnacentral:sRNA from 1 species
CAUCCCCUCCUCUCUCUCUCUCUCUCUUUUUUUUCCCUUCUUUUACAUCUUUUAGUACAAGAGUGGGGAGGUUUGAGGAGAACUGUCCAGCGCAACUUCCGUAAAUCCGGAAUUCGAUAUUCGUUUGUGAACAAUCCAUCUCGGUCUAAGUACCUUUGGUGGGUGGGGAGGGUUGGCUGAAACUUUUCCCCCUCCACUCCCUUUGCGUGGAAGUGGUUCCCAAGAUCUUGAAGAUGCGCGCUCAAGACAAAACUACGGUAGGUUAGGUCUUUCCACUGGCAGGCUUCAUAGUCCUCCAGAGAAGAUCCAACAGAGUACUAACUAGGAUUUUUCCAUUCAUCAAGACCGGAGCUUCGCGUUCUCUUUCCAGCGAGUCGAACGUCCGUUUGAAAUGCCAUGUGUGCUGGAGAAUGGACAGGAGGAUAUAUAUCUGCCAACAAACGCCCGUGAGAGAGACUAACUAACCAAUACGCAGUAGAUGUCAGCAGAAGUGGUUCCGCCCGUGGUACUAUUAUUAUUCCCCUUCAUCCAAGGGAAAAAAAAAAAAAGGCUCGGGGCGCUUAUCUUAAUAACAUGUUUGAAAGUUUAGCCGCGAGCGAUCCCCGAAUUAUCCACGAAUGCAUGAGGCGGAUUUGGAAAGCCCUCCUCCCAAAAGAAGCAAAAAAAACGAAAAACACUAUCUAUGGCGAGAGGCUCAUCUGCACACUCCUAAACGAAAAUAAUGUACCAAUAACAGGAGCUGUGUAAGUAAGGCAAGGAUGGCUCAGGGCUCCAAGAAGUCCUUCCUUGGUCGAGUAGCAAACGGGCGCUGGCGAAAAAAGGGCA